GACGAACGCUGGCGGCGUGCUUAACACAUGCAAGUCGAGCGAUGAAGCACCUUCGGGUGUGGAUUAGCGGCGAACGGGUGAGGAACACGUGAGGAAUCUGCCUUUCACUUCGGGAUAGCUCCGGGAAACCGGGGCUACUACCGGAUAUUUUCAACUGGCGGCAUCGCCGGUGGAAGAAAGUUUUUCGGUGAAAGAUGACCGCGCGGCCUAUCAGCUUGUUGGUGAGGUAAUGGCUCACCAAGGCGCCGACGGGUAGCCGGCCUGAGAGGGCGACCGGCCACACUGGGACUGAGACACGGCCCAGACUCCUACGGGAGGCAGCAGUGGGGAAUAUUGGGCAAUGGAGGAAACUCUGACCCAGCGACGCCGCGUGAGGGAUGAAGGCCUUCGGGUUGUAAAUCUCUUUCAGCAGGGAAUAAGCGAAAGUGAAGGUACCUGCAGAAGAAGCACCGGCUAACUAUGUGCCAGCCGCCGCGGUAA
rnacentral:rRNA from 1 species